AACGCACAUUGCGCCCGCCAGUAUUCUGGCGGGCAUGCCUGUUCGAGCGUCAUUUCAACCAUCAAGCCCCAGGCUUGUGUUGGGGGCCUGCGGCUGCCGCAGCCCCCUAAAAGCAGUGGCGGGCUCGCUGUCAUUCCGAGCGUAGUAGUUAUAUCUCGCUCUGGGCGUGGCGGCGGGUACCUGCCGUAAAACACUCCUUCUAAGGUUGACCUCGGAUCAGGUAGGAAUACCCGCUGAACUUAA
rnacentral:misc_RNA from 1 species